UUUUUCAAUUUUUAUUCGUACAAAUAUGAAGUAAAUUUUGUGUAAGAAGACAUUUCGCGACAGGUAGAUUUUAGAAUCAGAGCAAUAAGUUUUGAAUAUUGUUCUUGUGAUUUUGAAAAUAUGCUCUGAUGAAGGAAUCGCCUGAGGAUAUUUCUAUUAAUAUUUAUAUUAAAUUGCAAUGAAUUCUAAUUCCUUUUUAAUUAAUUCAAUAUUAAAAAUUUAAUAUUCAAUAAUUUGUUCAAUAAUUAAUGAAAUAAAAUAUGAAAUAGAGUCACAAAUAAUUUGAAAUAUAAUAAAAAUUUGAAAUAUAUAAUAUAGUUUAUAUAAUUAUACAAUUUGAAAUAUAUAAUGCAAAGUCAAAGAAUAUUAGCCCGUUAGAUACAAAAUGGAUAUAUUAAUAUCUUUUUAGCUCAGGAUUUUCAGGUUUAACCCUUUCCAUGUUCAUUGCCAGGAACUCACUCACGUGCCCAGGUGUUACUUGAGUGAGAGAGAGGCAAUGGGUAUGAUGAUCUUAGCUCAUAAGUUAAUACAAAUUUUUUAGCGACUGACGAUGCGUUAGUGUAUCGUGCACGACGUAAUUUCCACAUUGUGUGUGUAUGGUUAGGCUGUGGAAUUGCGUCGUUCCAAUUAUUAUUUCUUUCACUGUUCAAUCACAAUUUGCAAUCACAUUCGCAAUUAAAUAUUGCGAAUAAGUAAUAAAUAGUAAGAUUAAUUUUUAAUCUCAAAUUACAAUAAUUGUACAAUUUUGGUUUAUAAUAAUGGUUACAAUAAUGGUAACAUUUAAUCUGGUGAUUAGUAUUUUAAAAAAUGUUACGUAUUCAUAAAUAUUCACAAUUAAAAUAUAGAUACACGCGUUUUUAUCGCAUUUCACGCAAUGGUCACUAGCUAUCGUCAGUCGAUUUCAGGAAAAUGGUACGUAAAGUUAGAGUGUGCGAGUAGUGUGCCAAGCUCGGGUGUCGGAGGCGUCCCGGGACGUUUUCCCUAGUGUAGGCUUUUGCGCCCGAGUGUUAUGUGUGAGAAUCGUGGAAUGAAUGUGUUGGUAUGCCUGUUUUGCCAAAUUUUUUUAAAUAUAGGGCUAGGUAGGAUAGGUAGUAUACUUCUGGUGUGUCUGUUAAUUAUAAGUAGGUAGGGCCGGGCAGGUUGUCACAGUCUCCGAUCGGGUAGGCGCGUUUUCGCGUGACAAUCUGUUUCAGGAAAUAAAAUUUGAGAAAUCGAGAGCGAAGCUGAAACGAAUGGAUGACAAUGCCAUUCGUCUCUGGUUUUGCUCGUCGAGUUUUCGAAUUUCGCGGUCGCGGUCGUGAUUUGCUUUCGAAACGAACGUUGCGCUCGAGAUUCUGUGCAUGUACGGAGAACGAUCAUUGCGAUUGUUGGUCGUCCAUGUGCACUUAGCUUACGCGAUUUAGUCCUUUUUUUUUCCUUUUCUUUGGUUUGCGAUUAGUGAAUCUCGAGCCUAGAUUUAAGUUUCAGCGGGUAUUGCACCCGAAGAAAGAAGACCGAAGAGGCCCGACAAACUGUCACGAAGAGGGCUGCAACGAAUGAUUUCUCAUUUUUUGAAUUUUAUCUGGAUCCAAAGAAUGGGAAGUCAUUGUUACUACUUUGUCAUUGUGCUCGUUUUAGUAAUACGUAGUAUAUGUUGUUGUAUCGUAUCUGGCCAAUUUGCAUGCUGGCCCAUCGUUCAUCCAAUCAUCUUGGGCAAAUCGCGGUUUUGCAUUAGUGUUGCGAAUGAUAAAUAACGGGUUGAAUUAGAGUUGCGACAAAAUGAUAAUCGCGUUUACUAUUAGCGUUGCGUUGAAAAGAAUAUCGCGAUUGCUUUUAAUUAUUUUCAUUAUGAAUUAGUCUAUUUUUUUAUUAUUAUUAUUUUUUUAAUAUAAAUUUGAUUUUAUUCUUUAAUAUAAUUACGAUUUAUGAUAUCGUGAUAUAUGAAAAGUAGUUUUUUAAAUUUAAAGAAUAAUAGUAAAUUUUAUAUUAAAUUCAUUUGAAGAAUUAGUGUUGCGUUGAUGAAAUAUCGCGUUUUUUAUAGUAGUGUUGCGUCUAUUUACCCAAAUUGCCCAUAUUUCUUCCACUUGGACUGUGGAAGUACGUUCCAGUUCCUGAAUCACCUACUACAGCCAAAAAGACUGUACAAAGGGUGAUUGUACGACAGCAGUCUCUGAUUAUGGCUGCAAUCUUCCGCUAUUAGUGUUGCGUUUAUAAUAAAUUAUGAGUGCAUAAAUUAAUUAAUUUAUUAGAGUUUCGUAUAUGUUUUCGCGAAUCUUUUAUCUUUUUUUUUUAUUUUUUUUUCUUUUUUAUUGAUGAAGAAAUGCAUUAAAAAUAUAAUAAAGCACUCUUCGCGUUUUCUUUUGAGAUUUUUAGCAUAUUAGUGUUGCGAAAUAUAAAAAAAUUCCACUCACGGUUUGUUCGGAUUUACAUCGAGUGGAUAAUUAUUUUGGUAACCCUUCUGGUUACCUUUUCGUCGUUUUUCUCUUUUCAGCAUCCCCCUUGUUAAGAGCAUUUGUUUACUGUUGUAAAAAUGUAUUUUAUUCUUUGCAUCGAUGAAUAUCUUUCAUUUAAAAUCAUGGAUUGCUUAACAACAUUUUGAUAAUUCGAUUUUUUUUUGAUUUAAUUUUUCUUUUUAUUCCUAGAUGUAAAUUAAAAUUUUUUAAUUACUAAUCCAAUAAUUGAGUUUGUUACAGGUAUGAAUUGAAGAAAAUAAACAAGAAAAAAUAGAUUCAAGUUAAUGUGUGAUUUGCUAGAAACUAAUUUAAUUUUUGUUAUUGAGUUUCAUUUAAUUCUGUUUUAUAUUCUGUUUCAGAAAUCCUCUUCAACUUUCAACGGUUUAGCUUGUCGAUUUUCCUUAAGAAUUCUUUUGCUGUCCGUUUUGCACAAUGAUCAAGAAUUGUUAUUAAUGUUAAAUAAAUUUUUAAAAUAUGUUAAAGGAGGAUGGAUGGAAUCGUGGAUAGGAUGGGUUUCUUUUCGCCCUCCCUCCACUCGAUGGGACCUGGGCAAUCAUCAUUUGUAUAUCUAAUUUAUAAUCGUAUUACUGAUAGAUUCUGUAAUUCAAUUAUAAAUUACAUAACAAAUAACAUGAGCUAAUUGGCUGCAAUGUUAUUGUUAUCCAAAUGUUAUUAUUCGUACGAAUAAAUAAAUAAAUAUCUAAAUAAAUAUAUUUUCAUAGAAAUAUUUAUUAUCCUGUUGAUAUUCUAGUUAUUAAAUUACAAAUAUUCUAUAUUUGUAUAUUUGUAUUCAACUAUUUAUUUUAAAUUUAUUUUAUCAUAAAAGGUAAAUUUUAUUAGUAGAACUCUUUUAUAUCAUACGUAGUAUGUACAGGUUUUCCUUCAAGUCGAUAAACUUGCUUCUUUAUCGACGUGAAUUUAAUUCGUACUCGUAUUCACAGAGGACUCUGUAAUACGAGAAUAAGCAUUUCUUCUCGUCUCGUGUAAUAAGUUUAAAUUCUUUUAUUUUGAUAAUAUAUAUAAUAAUUUGAUUUACGUGAAUAAUUCGUAUUCGUUAUUCUGUGACGUUCUUUUUUUUCCAAUUACAAUUUCAUUACAGAAUUUUUACGA